AUUGAACGCUGGCGGCAGGCCUAACACAUGCAUGUCGAGCGAGCGGCGGACGGGUGAGUAAUGUCUGGGAAACUGCCUGAUGGAGGGGGGUAACUACUGGAAACGGUAGCUAAUACCGCAUACCAUCAGACGUGCCCAGAUGGGAAUAGCUAGUAGGUGGGGUAACGGCUCACCUAGGCGACGAGCCCUAGCUGGUCUGAGAGGAUGACCCGCCACACUGGAACUGAGACACGGUCCAGAGUCCUACGUGAGGCAGCAGGGGGGAAUAGUGAACAAUGGGCGCAAGCCUGAUGCAGCCAUGCCGCGUGUGUGAAGAAGGCCUUCGGGUUGUAAAGCACUUUCAGCGGGGAGGCGUUACCCGCAGAAGAAGCACCGGCUAACUCCGUGCCAGCAGCCGCGGUAAGUC
rnacentral:rRNA from 1 species